AUUGAACGCUGGCGGCAGGCUUAACACAUGCAAGUCGAGCGGGGUGAUGAUGCUUGCACUAUCACUUAGCGGCGGACGGGUGAGUAAUGCUUAGGAAUCUGCCUAUUAGGGGGGGACAACAUCUCGAAAGGGAUGCUAAUACCGCAUACGUCCUACGGGAGAAAGCAGGGGAUCACUUGUGACCUUGCGCUAAUAGAUGAGCCUAAGUCGGAUUAGCUAGUUGAUGGGGUAAAGGCCUACCAAGGCGACGAUCUGUAGCGGGUCAGAGAGGAUGAUCCGCCACACUGGGACUGAGACACGGCCCAGACUCCUACGGGAGGCAGCAGUGGGGAAUAUUGGACAAUGGGGGGAACCCUGAUCCAGCCAUGACGCGUGUGUGAAGAAGGCCUUAUGGUUGUAAAGCACUUUAAGCGAGGAGGAGGCUCUUUUGGUUAAUACCCAAGAUGAGUGGACGUUACUCGCAGAAUAAGCACCGGCUAACUCUGUGCCAGCCGCCGCAGUAA
rnacentral:rRNA from 1 species